rnacentral:lncRNA from 1 species
UUUCUUUCAUCAAAACUUGGAGUAAACACCUAAAAUUAGUAAACCCAAAUAAGCCUUGGAAUUAUUAAGUGGAGGAACACAAUCGGGUGGAAGAAUUAACAAGAAGAAAAGUGAAGAAUUGGUGAAGAGAAGAGGGGGAAAAGUGGCUGACAACAUACAAGGAGAAGAAGGCUAAGAUUCUUCUAAAAUUUGUGAAGUAAAGUUUAGAUUUCCAUCCAAGUAAGGAGUUCUAAUUCCAAUUUCUAUGAAAUCAACUUCAAUUUGAUUAGAAGUUUAUGCCUUUCUUGAAUUGGGAAUUAGGGUUCUUUAACAUAAAAUGUUGGGAAAAUGCAGAAAUGAGUGAGGUUAAAUGGAUUAGAUUAAUCUAAGUGCCUUAAAGAAAAAGAAGAAGAGAAAAACGGAUAGAGAGAGCUGCAGAUUUUGGAGUAAAACCAAUAAUACUCCGGUGGCCAUAUCUCAGGACUCCACCGUUGGAUCAUGCUAAGUUUUGGAUAUGUUGUUCUUAUUACACUUAUAUACUAACUGACCGGUGGGAUUGGAAGGAACACCCUCCAUUUGACAGAAAUCAUCAUCGGGAACUCUUGGUUCCCUUGGCCACAUUCUCUGCUGGAUACUGCAGAGAGGGAAUGAGAACUUAUGGUGUGCUUAAUUUAUUAAUUGGUACCAGUGACCUUAAGAGGACAUAAAAUGAGACGGGAAUGCCAUGAAUAAAGGGAAGGCAUGGCUGUGACUGAUGAGGAAGCAGGGAUUUAAGAUGAAUUGGAGAUACCUUCUCCAUUAGCAAAACAGGGCAGGUUCGUUGCCCUGUUUCCUGGGGGGAUUUUGGACCUGAAAACUACAAAAUUCAGGGAGGUUCCCCUCAUAUAAGUGUAGCUAGGAGUGUUAGCUUUCCAACGAAUCUGACCUCGCCUAAUUUGGAGUCCUAGAACUCCAGAUACAAAUAAAAAACUGAGGAGAGGUCGAGCUGCCACCCUGUUGGCAGAUUCGGCCAAGUUGAUAAAACGGCGAAAUUUAGCCAUAUCAAGGGUAGAAUUUGUUUUCUUGCCUUUCAUAAAGUGUGUCUUGAUCUUCAAAAAGAAUAAACUGUAAUCAAAAAUUGAAUUUAUGAUGUCCACUUGGACUACUAAUGAACUGAAAAGUUAAAGGAUAAUAAUGGGGAAUGUAAGUGAUGAGAAAGAAAAGAUUUGGUAAAAGAGAAAUGAAUAUUAUUUUCAAUGUUGAUGUUGCGUGUGAUAUGUGGAUUAAUAUGGAAUAAUGAUGGGUGUUUGUGGUUUCAGGAGGAACCGCAGGAGGAGUACAGCAACCACAGGGGAACGCAAGUCGAGCGUCCACAACAGGUAGGUACUUGGUACCUAUAUCUCCUCUAGUUAAUAAUUAUUUUAACUAACUUUUGAACUAUAAAAAUUUGGUGCUUAUUGAUGAGAAAAAAAAAGGGAAAGGAAAGGUCAAAUGACGAAAAAAUAAAAUGGAACGGAGAACUAGAUUUAAUUUAUGGGUUCUUUUGGAGGAAAUAGAUCGUAACAAGGAAUUUUGGUAAUGAUUGUUUCUCGAAUUUGAUUUGUUUGUCCCUGAUAUGGGAGGCUAAUGAUGUUAACCAAGCUGGAUAACAUCGGCAUUACUGGUACGUGAGAGGAAAAAUAUAAACUUGAUUAACUAUUCGGUUUCAGAAUAGUUAAUGAUAUCGGCACGUGACGUCGAUAUCGGCAAAACUUAUAAACUUGAUUAACUAUUCGGUUUCAGAAUAGUUAAUGAUAUCGGCACGUGACGUCGAUAUCGGCAAAACUUAUAAACUUGAUUAACUAUUCGGUUUCAGAAUAGUUAAUGAUAUCGGCACGUGACGUCGAUAUCGGCAAAAUUUAUAAACUUGAUUAGCUUUCGAGGUGAAAGCUAAUGAUGUCAAGAAUUUUGACAUCGGCAUACCUGAGAACCUCCCAAGGUAAUAUGGAACAAUGAUUAACUAUUUUAGUUUUAAAAAUAGUUAAUGACACAAACGUUUACAUUUGUGUCGGCAUUUUCAUGAAACUAAUUAGUUGUUCCAGGACGGGCAACUAAAGACACUAAUGGAGGUCAUUGGUGUCAGCAAUAGUCUUUUUGAUGAAGGGGGGGGAGAAGUAGUUAACAGGAAAAAAAAAAGAAGAAGAAGAAGAAAGAAUUCUUAUAUAACCAUUAAAAGGGGUUUGUGGUUGUAUUUAGAAUCUUAUAUGAUUUAAGUAGAUAUAUAUGUUGUUUAAUUUUAUUCUGUAAAUUGCUUGUAUUUUAAUCAUUUGUUUUUAAUUAUAUGGAAAAUUUAUAUUUUUGCAGGUCCCUCCCAUUCACGUCAGGAAUAGAUUUAAAGUCCUUUGAUCCCUUUUUGUAUAAGUUAGGAACUUAGGGAUUUGUGGUGUAAUUUUGUCAUGCAGUAAACAUGUAACCUAUAUGGAAUAUUC